rnacentral:rRNA from 1 species
GACGUAGGGCGCGAGCGUUAAUCGGAAUUACUGGGCGUAAAGCGUGCGCAGGCGGUUGUGCAAGACAGAUGUGAAAUCCCCCGGGCUUAACCUGGGAACUGCAUUUGUGACUGCACGGCUAGAGUGUGUCAGAGGGGGGGUAGAAUUCCACGUGUAGCAGUGAAAUGCGUAGAUAUGUGGAGGAAUACCGAUGGCGAAGGCAGCCCCCUGGGCUAACACUGACGCUCAUGCACGAAAGCGUGGGGAGCAAACAGG